CCCUUAGAUGUCCGGGGCCGCACGCGCGCUACACUGAAGGAAUCAGCGUGGCUUUCUCCCUGACCCGAAAGGGUUGGGAAACCCGUUGAAUCUCCUUCGUGAUAGGGAUUGGGGCUUGAAAUUGUUCCCCAUGAACGAGGAAUUCCCAGUAAGCGCGAGUCAUAAGCUCGCGUUGAUUACGUCCCUGCCCUUUGUACACACCGCCCGUCGCUACUACCGAUUGAAUGAUCCGAUGAAUAUCAUGGAUUGAGGAUGCAAGCAGGUUCGCCUGUCUUCAUCUUCGAGAAGUGAAGUAAAUCUUAUCAUUGAGAGGAAGGAGAAGUCGUAACA
rnacentral:rRNA from 1 species